GUGUCUCCAAUAUUCCAGAUGAGCAGCAGUAUAAAAAACAUAAAAGAAAACUCCAAUAGUGCAAUAUAUUCCAAUAAGAAUAAAAGAAAAGAAAAUAAAAAAUGUGGUACUCACAUUUACUAGAGCAGAAACUUGCUCUAGUAUACUCAGCUUAGGUGAUAUAAUCCCCACCAGAGGAUAUGAUGACCAGGAAGUAAAAUGAUGAAUCCAAAAUAAAUAGAU